rnacentral:lncRNA from 1 species
AACAGAGAGCACUGUGACAAGGCUACGAGGUCACAAAGGGAAGAACAAGGAACUCUGGCUGGCAGCGAGAGUUUUCAGUGAAGCAACAAUAUCUGACUAGGGUUUUGAAGAAUGAGCAGAAGCUGUGCGUCAGAUGAAGAAGAGACAGGAAGCCCUCCAAGCAAAGGAACCACUCAUGUCAAGACAUGGGGCAAAAAGAGAGGACGUAUUUGGAGAACAGAGAGUAACUGAAGGCUAUCAUUCAAUCAGUGAUAGUCUUCAUGGAGGUUAAUAUCAAAGGCAACCUGAAUUUCCUCAGACUUCAUGAGCUGGCAGUGAAGGGUGAGAUCACACAAGCAGUAAUAACCCAGCUCUCCCUGGCUCACUGCCUUACUUACUGGCCUUCUGGUACUCAGCAAAGCUGUCCCCAUGAGUUUGGGAGUCUCCAUUCCUGUCCUUCCACUCUCCUCAAACGUCCUUUCAUUCAAGGUCACGUGGUAACUCGACUCCUCUCACCACUACUUCUGUGGGAAUGCAGAGGCCAGGCCAGAGCCUGUGGGUGCUGCCCUCCCCAGAGACUUCACUAUGCCGAGCUCCAGGGAGGACUGACUGGAGGAGGGGACCAGGCAUCUCCCCUGCACUCUGGGCCCACAGCAACCCUGUAUACCAGCCCGUAUUAACCUUGCAACGCCUUCCUCCAAAAGGCUGAGACUUCAACCACAGGACCUGUGUGGUGAUCACCACAAAAUUUCUUCCUGAAAGUUCUUCUCCAACAACUUCUCACAUUCAGUUAUUCAUUCAACAAACAUUGAGCAACAACCUAAUCUUCUGGGCUCUGGAGACCGAGUUAAAAAGGACACAGCAGGCCCCUGCCCCCGCUUCCCGACAGGUCACUGCAUCUUGAGUGCUAAGACUAUCAUCACAGGGUGAGGAGGGGAACUGAGCUCAGAGGGGUAGAACCUCCUGAAAGGGCAGAACGGUUCAAGCAUCCCGCCAAGGUCAGAAUAGGAUCAGUGACGAUUUUGAAACAGCCUGGUCUCACAUCACAUUCAGGGGAUUCUGCCUCUGAAUUCUUAAUAGCCUGAGAGAUGCAGUUGGGGCUGACCUGCUUGAUCAUAUGCAAAUUAAAAGCAGAUGUCAGUAAUGGAACAUUCCAGCCAAAAUCCAAAGCUACCCCAAAGGAGCAGAGCAUGAAGGCACUUGCUCUCUUGGAAGAGUCAUCUAUAUAUUAUAGCAGGGGAAAGCCUUGAUCUCAUUGCAGGAAAUCUUCACGACCAUUGAAGAUGAGUUGGUUUCUUACUGGGUACAGCCCAACCACAUGGGUAGCAGAAGUCAAAGAUGGGCCGAGGGGGCUAAAAGCUACCAUAUCUGCUUCUGAUUGUCAAGUGUCUGGAGAGACCCUUUCAGUGCACUUGUAACAGAUCUCCCCUCCUCCCAGGGAGUGGGGAUGGGAGAGGCCUAAGCCAUACACAUGCAUUCGCGCUGGAUCCAGGGCAAAAACGAAGACAUAUGGGACCUUAGGUGACAAGGAAGAAGCUCCCAGGCAGCAUGUGGGAUGGACCCAAGGAGAACGUCAGAGAGAAAGAGUUCAGUCUAGUGUCUCCUGAAGCAGCAAAAGAAACAACACGCCUGUGUUUCAAAGGUGGCAGCAUGCUGACGAAGGAGGGUGGAGUACGCAAGGAACUGGUUGCCUCUAGGACUCGCGACAAGACCUUACGGAGAAAGAAGUCAGCCAAGGGAAAACGACUGGAGUGUGGAAGAGUCUGGAAGAGCUGGACCAGGUCCACAUGGUCCGGUCAGUUCUCCAAACAUCAAGACCCUGUGCGGUGAGGGUGAGCCAUCUUAGCAGGAAGGUAUACCUCCGUGCCCAUGCCACCUUCAACACUUCCAGACCUUCUCUUCCCUCCUUCCCCAAUCCCACCCAAAGCUCCAGUUCCAGCAAAUGUGGGAGCGCAACGAGUGGGGUUAUGGCAGCAGCCCUGAACUUGGACUCAGAAGACUUGGCUUUAAAUUCUGCCUCUGCACUUACUGGCUGUAUGACCCAAGAUGAUUUACCUCCCUCUCCACUUUCCCCAUCUGUGAAAUGGGGCAAAUAAGAGUCCCACUGGAUUCAAAAGGUUAUGAGGAUGAAAUAUGGUUGAGAGAUGA